rnacentral:rRNA from 1 species
GAACGCACUUCGUUUGAAAACGGCGGCGAUGACCUGCGGAUAGGGGUGAAAGGCCAAUCAAACCCGGAGAUAUCUCGUUCUCCCCGAAAUAGCUUUAGGGCUAGCGUCGCGCGUUCACCGCCGGAGGUAGAGCACCGGAUGGACGAGGGGGCUUCGCCGCCUACCGAAUCCAACCGAACUCCGAAUGCCGGCGGCCCAGAGCGCGGCAGUCAGAGCAUGUGGGCUAAGCUGUGUGCUCGAGAGGGAAACAGCCCGGACCGCCCGCUAAGGUCCCCAAGUUCCAGCCGAGUGGCAAAGGAUGUGCGUCCGCCCAGACAACCAGGAUGUUGGCUUAGAAGCAGCCACUCAUUAAAAGAGUGCGUAAUAGCUCACUGGUCGAGUGACCCUGCGCCGAAAAUUUAACGGGGCUAAAUCGUACACCGAAGCUUGGGAUGCAGUAAUGCAUGGUAGGAGAGCGUCGUAUAAGGGGUGAAGUCAGAGCGUAAGCGUUGGUGGACUUUAUACGAGUGAGAAUGCCGGAAUGAGUAGCGAGAAAUAUGUGAGAAUCA